UCUCAUAUUCCUAUAUGUGCAUAUAUGCCUUGUCGAUUUUUAAAAUUUUCAAACUAAUUGCAUAAGACAUUGGUUAAUUUUUCUGUGCCAAGUUCGUUGGGAUUUAUACAAAUGGCACAUUAGGCCUAACAUAGAGAUCGAACUACUUUUUCAUAUUCAUACGCACCAUGCUACUUUGCUUUGUAAACAAAAACACGCAAAAUCGGCAGCACAACAGUGACUUCAAAAGAAAUUGACGGGACUGUGGAGGCUUACUAUAUAGUGGAAAUUUUUAGAAGAAGUAUUAACCAUAAGGGCCAGAGAGCAUAAUGGUUCCUGGAAGGAUUUGUUUACAAAACCUUUUUCACUGCUUCUGGAGGUUUGUUGGUUAAUUUCUCAUUCCGGAGAAAUUUAACUCCAUCACUACCAUGUUGGGGGUUCCCUAAUGCCAGAUAACAUCUCCAGGAAAGCAAAGAGAGGUAUACACCACAAAUGGCAGAGCAUAAAGGAUGGCUGGGAGAUUUGAUAAACUUACUGUUGUAGGAGAACAAUUUCAAGCAUUGAUAUAUAUUAGAAAAUUGUGCUGUCAGUCUUUUGUAUGACUUGGAGGACAAGCUUCCCCUUGAAAACUGGAACAAAUGUGAAAUGAAGAAUGUGUAUCUUCAUAUUGAGAACUUUUCCUUGUAAAAUCACCUCUGGGAAAAAGUUUAUUUCAUAUCAAUUUAUUGUGUUCAUUAUCUGGUCUAAUUUUAUAUUUGUAAUUGUUUUAAAAUUGCAUGGCGAAACACAUUUUUGCUCACCUGAGUCAAAAGCUUAAAUGAGUUUUUUGAUCCGAUUUCUUUGUUGUCUGUUGUGUUGUAAACUUGUUACAACUUAAUUUUUGUUCAAAUGAUGCCCCUUCCCCCCUGGGAGCUUGAGACCAUUUAUAAAGUUAAACUUCUCAAAAUGGAACUGAUAUCUUCUUUUUUUCAAGCCAAGACACUCAGG